rnacentral:lncRNA from 1 species
ACACACAUUCCCCUACAAUUCUACAAACACACAUCUCUCUCCUCUCUCUCUCUGCCGCCGGCCCUAGUCUCUCUGUCAGAUAAAUAUAGACCACAACAAAAAACUAAUUGUAGAGGCUUUGAAAUUGUUAACAAAUAAACCCCAGGACAGUUUACGUAACCCUAUAAUACGGUUAUGUAAGGUAGUUAUAACUAAUCGUUGAUAAAUUAAUCAAAGAGCUUGAAUUGCACAGUUGGUCAUGGCUGACACACAACCAGGCUCUUGAAGCCUUCCAUUUGUGAUAUUUUAAAUUCUUAAGUAUAAUUAACAUAGUUUUAUAAUAUUAUCCACAAGAAUAUGCCCUAUUGUUAAUCAACCCAGCUGCUUAGUCUGCUUUCCCAAUGAAAUAUUAUAUCAUUAAGCUUAAAAUAUCUGGAAACUGAGUGACUGCCGACCACGCCAAUGACUUUCGAACCCAAUUAAUUAUACAAUUAAAUAAUAAUUUUCUUAAUUAAUUAGCAAAGUAUUAAUCUCUGCGAUGACUGAUGAGACGCAGAGGUUGAUUUAAAAGGAAGGGAACGCCAAACAGCAUUAUUAGGCAAAUCUAUGUAUAGGGUUCAGGCACCCUAGACUCAUUUUUUCCAUCUUUGCCACCCCCAAUGGGUGCCUUGUGAGAGACAUCAUUACUCAGCACCAUGUGAGAGUAGACACAGAUGAGAGAAUACUACUGAGACGUCUUGGAAAGAAAGGCAAGUCACAGUGAAUUUGAUUAGUUAUUUAAAACACUGUGCAUGAAUAUUAACUACGCAGACUCGAUUCUCUCGAGGCACUUCUAAGCUAUACUCUGUUAGAAAAUGUUUUGGGGGAAUGUAUUGAGUCAGUCACUUGGAUCAUGGAAGACCCGUCACAUUUUAAGAAAUGAAACUUCAUUAAAAAGGAUCAAGAAUUUACAUAGGGUAUGGAUGUUAGAUGCGAACCACACAGCAUACAAAAACCACAUGGAAAAUUAUUUGAGAUCCAUAUAAGAGGGCAAA